GAUGAACGCUGGCGGCGUGCCUAAUACAUGCAAGUCGAGCGAACAGAUGAGAAGCUUGCUUCUCUGAUGUUAGCGGCGGACGGGUGAGUAACACGUGGAUAACCUACCUAUAAGACUGGGAUAACUUCGGGAAACCGGAGCUAAUACCGGAUAAUAUUUUGAACCGCAUGGUUCAAUAGUGAAAGACGGUCUUGCUGUCACUUAUAGAUGGAUCCGCGCGGCAUUAGCUAGUUGGUAAGGUAACGGCUUACCAAGGCAACGAUGCGUAGCCGACCUGAGAGGGUGAUCGGCCACACUGGAACUGAGACAGGGUCCAGACUCCUACGGGAGGCAGCAGUAGGGAAUCUUCCGCAAUGGGCGAAAGCCUGACGGAGCAACGCCGCGUGAGUGAUGAAGGUCUUCGGAUCGUAAAACUCUGUUAUUAGGGAAGAACAAAUGUGUAAGUAACUGUGCACAUCUUGACGGUACCUAAUCAGAAAGCCACGGCUAACUACGUG
rnacentral:rRNA from 1 species